rnacentral:lncRNA from 1 species
ACACCUAACUUCUAGAAUCAUUUUCUCAAUUAAAAAAAAAAUUUAAAUUAACUUUUUUAUUUUGAGGAAAGGGUAGCAUGCUAUCUACUUCAUUUAUUAGAAAGAUGAACUAAGCAACAAGACUGUGGCUGCACAGGCCUCGGAGUGGGCGAAAAAAAAGAGAAGAAAAACACUAGUAAUUAUAACAGUGCCGAUUUGCAGAAAGAAAUUGCUCUCAACGAUCCAGCAAAUGUUUAAUCUUAUAGACUGCUAUUAGUGAAUUUGGCUGGGCCUUCCUAAAUAUCUUAAAUAGACUUUUAGAGUUGGUCAUGCCGUAUCUUAAAUUGACCAUUAGCCACGUAUAUCAGUUUGAUGUUUAAGUUUUUUUUAAUGGUUCAAUUAUAAAGAUUCUAAAAUUACAUGAAUCUAUUAAAAUCCUUGAGUUAUUUGAAUUUCUCCAUAAUUCAAUUAUUAAAAUUUUAAAAUUAUUUAAAACUUCGAAUUCUACAGUUUUGUAAUUCUAUGAGAAAUCCAAAUUUAUUUCUCAAACGUAUGUUUUAUUAUUAGCUGUUUCACAUGGUUUUUUUGGGAUAAUUGUCUAAUAUGCCUCCCAAACUUUGGAAAUAUCUCAUUUAUUCUUUUUUUUUUUUUCUUUCCAAUAUACGCCUCAUAUAUUUUUUCGUUAUUCCAAAAUAUUCCUUCAGUUACCACCCGUUAAGUUAACUUGGGUUAAACGUAAGUUAAAUAUUAAUUUAAGGACAAAUAAUAAAUGUUGGUGAUAGUAGAAGAGUAUAUUGGAAAAGAUCAAAAAUCAAAAUAUUUUUUAUACUCCUAACUUAAGGACAAAUAAGAAAAGUCGUGAUGGCUGAAGGGUAUAUUUGAAAGGGCAAAAUAGUAAUUUUAUAGAGAUAACAGUUAUUAUUAAUAGUUCAUUAACAAAAAUUAACUCUAGGGGUAUAAUUAAAACAGGUUGGAACGUAAAAAUGGUAUAUUUAAUAUUAGCCUUCUAAGAGGGGUAAAUCAGAAAGUUGGAAAUUUUUUAGGGGCAUAUAAGCAAU